rnacentral:lncRNA from 1 species
GCAGCUGAAAACAGUGUCAAGCUUAUCCAUUCGCUUCUUUGGAGGUGGCUUUGCUGAUGAUUUCCUCUUUCCCAUUGCUCAAAUCCUGAUUUUUACAUAAAUGUUUGAGCACACAAAAUCAAAGCUAGAAACUUCAAUCAAUCUCUCAAAAACUUGAAUUUUUUUACAACAUUAUUCAAACUAUCUAACCACCAAAAUUCAAGAUAUUUUUUAUUUCCCCUCCAAAAAAACACAUUAUUAAACCAAAAAGAUUGAAAUUGAAACUUGUUAAUUCAAUGAACCCUAGAAUGCACAUAAUGAAUCAAUGAUCCGAAUCUACAAGUACAAGCAAUGGAAAGGCGAAUAGAGAAGCAAGAACUAAAGAUGAAUCCAAAUCCCAGCCUUUUCCCCAUUCGUUUUGGCGAAUUAUGUGGAUCAAAACAGCGGCAAUGUAAACAAGAUGAAAGGGAAAACGUAAGCGAUAAGGGAAUAGAAAGCAUACAGAAGUGGAAGAUGAAACAAGCGCAGGCGAUGAGAGAGAGAGGAUGUGAUUUGAGAAAUUGAAUGAAUGAAUGAAUGGAAGGAAGGAGAAGGGAGAAGAGGAAUGGGUAGAGAGUGGAGACAGCAAAAGAUUGUGUUUUAUAUUGGGUUGUCAAUCCGACGCGUAAUGCGCUCAUUGUAUCAUUCAUAUCAUCCAUCAUCAGAUCCAUGAUUCGCUUCACCUGGUCAUGGUCCAGGUCAAUUCAUCAUUUUUUUUUAAAUAAUCUUUUUAAAUUACGUACUUAUUUGGGUAUCACUCAAUUCAUAGAAAAAAAUUUCUAAUAAAAAUAUAUAUAUUUUUUAGUAUAUUUAAUAAGUUUUUAGUAAUAAAAAUAAAAAUAAAAAAAAUAAAAAAAUGUUAAUUUAAAGCUUGUUUGGACCUUAUUUUUAAAACAGAUAUGUUUUUAAUAAUUUUUUUAAAAUUUUUUUUUACAAAAAUAAAAAUAAUUUUAUUUUUUAAUAUCUCAUAUAAAAGAUUUUUUUAUUUUUAUUAAUUAUGUUUGGAUAAAAUAAGAUAAAAAUAUUUUUUUGUUUAUUUAUUAUGNNNNNNNNNNNNNNNNNNNNNNNNNGUAAUUGUAUUUAGGUGUGUCCAGAGUGUUCGAAAAAGAAUUUUUUAUUUUUUUAUUAAGACACGGUUGAACACAACAAACACGUGUGUCAGACGAAUAUCGAUGAGUGUCGUGUCUAAAAUAUAUCCCACACAAAUACGAUAAUUCAGUGAAAUGUCCGUGCUUUGUAGCUCCUCGUGCUAAUCCCAUGUGGAGAUUUUCCGUGGGAUAAAAUUAAGAAAAAUAUUGUGCAAUGAAGAGUGAAUUAUUGUUGAUGAUAUGCAUCAUGUAUGAUAAGUUGAUAAAAGACAUAAACAUUACAUAGACGAUAUACUUAUAGUCGUAUAUACACAUGAAGUUUAUGUUAGAUAGUUUAAUAAUUUUAUAAACAAUAAUGCGGUAGAAAUUCCAUAAAUAUAAUUUUUAUUAGUGUAAAAAUAAUCUAUUUUUCUUGCUUGAGGUGUUUUUUUAUUAUACUGUAAUGUAAUGUUUUAUUAAUUAAAACAACUAUCCAUAAGAUAAUUAUGUUCUUGAAAAAUUUAUUAUUUAAAAAAUUAGAUUUUUGUUUAAAAAAUUUAAUCUAAAAGAAAUAAAAAAGAGUUUUAAAAUCAAUUUAACUUAUUAGGUAAAGAAUUUAUUACAAUAUUUAAUUGAUAAAUUAUUCAAAAAUUAAUUAAAAAACUAUAUUUAACAAAACCAAAGUUUUUUAUUGUUAUUAUUAUAAUUGUUAUAGUUUAUUACUUCAUAGACCAAUUCCUAUUUGUUGGAUAAUAUUCACAAAAACCUCAAAGCUGUCAACAGUCAACACUUUUUAAAAAGUGGCCUAAGCACACCAAUAAAAUCCAACAAAUAAAUUAUCAUCAUUAAAAACAAGUUAAUCCAACGUAAUUAAUAUUCAUGAUAUUGACAAUUGGACACAAUUAUACACACACUGCUUAGACAUAGAGCCUGUCUACGAGUGGGGUAGCAACGCUAGUACGCGUCACCUUUCCUCUAGUGCCACCAUGCUUCUUCAGCACAUGAGAAAAAAAUUUCCCUUCAUCACAGUAACAUGAUCCGUUAUGUGCUCAAAUAGUUUCUACUGUUGUUCCUAAUUCUAUUUCUACUUUUGAUUUUGGAGAAAUGCUUUGGCUCAAAUCUUAGCAAGAUAGGCCUUUAAGUUUUUCCUAAUUUUUUUCUUUUUUCCCCUUCAAAAAAGGACAUGUAAUUUAAAUUAGAAAAUAGCAAAUUGGUUUUUUUUCCUCUUUAUAAUAUUAUUUGCUCAUCACUCAUUAACAUCAGGUUAAUAGUUAAAUUUGUCUUUGAAAAAUCAUCUAUUCUUCAAAUUAGUUCUCAAAUGAUUUUUUCAGUCAUAUUAGUCCUUAAAAUAUAAACUUAAGUCAAAUUGGUCAUUCCGUUAGUUAGACGAUGACGUGUCACGUUAAGUGUCACGUAUCACCAGAUGAUUAGUUGACGUCUCAGUGACACCUAGCACGUCACGUGUCACUUGACAUGUAAAAAAGUUAUUUAUAAUCAAAAUAGUCUCUGAAAGUUCAAACAUAAGUCAUUUUUAUCCCUAAAAUUUUAAAAAUUAAUCAAAUUAGUCCUUAUAUAAUUUUUUUAUUUUUUCUUCGUAAUAUUAAAUUUAAAAUAUUUUUUCAUAAAUGAAAUUCGAAUUGAUAGCUCAUUAAUAUUUUAAAGAAGUCUUGUAAUUAAAUAUUUUGUUAGUUUUUUUUAAUGCAUGAAAUAAAAUAUAUAUUUUUUUAAUUUUUAAAUUAUUAAUUUUUUUAAUUAAUUAUUAAUUUUUUAAUAAAAAAUGGAAAGAAUUAAAUCAUGAGUAAUUCGAAUCUGGCCAAUUCGAAUUAAUACGUGCAACGUGUGUAAAUAUAAUUCGAAUCACCCUGAUUUGAAUAGUUUGAAUUACACUAAUUCGAAUUACAUAAAAUUAAAGUUAUAUAAAUGACUCUUAAUUGAUUCAUAAACCAAUUUUUAAUUUGACGAAUUUCCAUAAUUUUUUUCUCCCUUGACUUAAUAUAAUAAUUUGCCCUUGACAUGACAUAUUAUUUUUUAGAAAAUAUAUAGAUAAAUAUAAAUCGCUACAGAGGUACCGCGGUUAAUAUCUUUUAAGCAUUCCAUCAAAAAUCGCUACACACAACCCAACGGAAAUUGCUACAUCACUACCGCAAUUUACAUCCAAAUCAUAAUCCAUCGUACCCAUAAUUUCCAUAAAAAAUAAGAGGCAUUUGCGUCUUCAAUGUAUAGAUGUUAUAUUCUGAUAAUAUUGAAAGGCAAACAAUUUAUUUUAAUAACUUGCCCUAAAUUUAUCAUAUAAGACAAUCUCAUUCUUUAUUACCAUUCAAACUAUUACUACUAUUAGGACUUACAAAUUUUACAUAAGUAACAUGACUAGCAUCAGUAUUGUUAAUCAAGGUGGCAUCAUCAAAGUAGGCAUAUUACUUUCGUGUGCAUUGUAAACACUAAUCACCAUAAUAGAGACAGGCAUAAUUACAAUGGACAGUAAUUCCAUUCAUAUUUGCUAAAACUGGAUUAUUUAAAACGCUACUAAUCACCAUCAUCUUCCAACUGGAUUCUUAUAAUUACACUACUAAGCACCAUCAUCUUCCGGGUUGUUCACCCGUUCACAUUCAUCGAUCCACUCACUGUAUCUGCAUUGUUCAAAUUAGGAUUCUUGAGUCAGGAAAAAAUAAUAAUAAAUAAAAACCAAACAAGGGAGGUAGAGGCGGAGCAUAGUUUGCAGAUAUAAUUGUUGAACUUACAUGUCAAUUGGCUCCGAUAAAGCUGCAAAGAAAACAAACAUAUAAGACCACUAGCCUCAGCCACAUCUAAUUGUGCAAAUAAAUAUAAAGAUUAAUAAACCCAGUAAUGUAUGACUUUGCAUUUUCCAGAUCAACAACGCUUAACCAACCAACCAGAAAUUAUUAUUUAUUAGCUUUGACAAUAGAUCUUGUUUUCUUUCGAAAUUUCCUCCUAUUUUCAGAAUGGCUUGACAAUAUAACAAUGAGACAAGUCUAAAACGCUUCAAAACACACACCAUCCCCAACUUCAUCAAAAGUAUGAUAAGAUCACCAAGAUAAUAUCAUCAGUUAGUGGUAUGGAAACAAAAGCCUAUUUAUCAGUCACCAACUACUUUAAAUAAAUAUGAUAAAUGUAAACCACAGUACAUUAAAACCAACCUGUGACAGUAGUGCUAAAGCUCUCUUGGCAUAUUCUGCAAGAAGCUUCCCCUAUCAAGUUCUUCAUAUCACUGUAAAAGAAUCACAAGAAUGAACUUUGAACCGAGUAGUAUCAAUAUUCUAACAUAUCAAAUGGCGGCUUCCUGAUUGAUUUCAGUGAUACAUAAGCCUUGAGGUCUUUAUGCAAACGGCAUACUUUACAAAAAUACAUAAAAAUUUGCUUACAUGCGACAUUCGACACUGGUGCCAUGAUUGCAGAAAGGGCAGCUGAAGACAGUGUCCAGCUUAUCCAUUCGCUUCUUUGGAGGUGGCUUCGACUUUGCCUUCCUCUUUCCCAUCCCACAAAUCCUGAUCUUCAUACAAGUGUUUUCAAGCAAGCAAAAGAAUCAGUAAAAGAAAACAGUCAAAAAAAUUCCUAUGCAUUUCCUAAAAGGCUAAGACUUCAGAAUUUCUUUCUAAGUUCUGAGUUUCACAUGGAGUAACAAUCUGCAAGCCAUUACAAUUUUCCAGCAAUUCAAUCAAAUAGGCAAUUUCUUUUGGCUCCCUUUCUAUGAUUAACACUAAUUAGAAAUUGCUCCCAAAACAAAGAAUCCUACCAGAGUACUGUAAUUUUCGGUUGAUUAUAAAAAAAAUUGAAAGAAAAUUCCGAUUUCCCCCUGCAGGCU